ensembl:lncRNA
CUGACUGCCAUCACCCCGUGGGUGGCUGCAAAGCAUCUCUUCACCUUCCUCAGAAUGAGAUCCAUUUGGGGUGAAGUGGGACAGCUCUUCUGCUUGCGGUGAAGCUAUGCUGCUGUGCACCGGCUGAGACCCUGCCUGCUUGUUUUUCAGACUGUAAAGCCCAGAGGGCUGAGGCUGCCUCUGUAAUCCCAGGGCUGAUGUGAGGACCAAGGGAUGGACACAGUGGCACAGGCCUCAGAGAGCAGCUUCUAGCAAACAGAGUCCAACAGCCUCUCUUGGGGUUUGAUCUGUUCCAGACCUGCUCAGCAGACCCAAGGAGGCUGUCAUGGUGCUGGACCACUUCAGUUCAUUGCGCCCUGUGGGUUAACGUGGUGGUGCAGCCCAGCCCUGCUGACCUGGGGGACCAUGUGGGCCGGGAUCGCCUAACUUAAUAGAUGUUUAGCCCCAUUCAACUGGAAAGUGGGCCACGCAAGGAAACACUGGGUUUAAAAUGCAGAGGAUGUGCAAAAGAGGAUGAAUCUCUUUCCUUUUGAAGCAUUUGUUGGCUGAAAUGCCCUUUUCUGUGAUUUUCUAGUGCUGACACUAACAGGUGCUGAGCAGCCUUCAGACUUAGCUGGAGUCUUGCAUCUUUUUUGGGUUUUUUUUUUGUGUGUGAAUGAAGUUUGGUGUGCUACUUCUGAAUAGUGUAAUACAAGCCUCACUGCUGGGCAGGAGGAGAGGGCCGUGUAGGUCAGAACUACGUCCCUUGGAGUUAUCCUGAAACGGGGAGUUCAGACCAGUACAUACUAAUUUGGAGCUGCUGACCCAGCAGUAAACUCAGCUGGCUGCUGACACUCUUGCCAGCAGCCUAUGGAUGUCGUGUAGCUUUGAAACCCUGUGGCAUCAUUUAAGAAGGCUCCCAGGAAGCUCUUCUGCCUUCUCAGUACCACCUUUACCCAGGGUGUGACUUAGGAUGGUUCUUAGAGAUAGUAAGUCUUGCAAGGUACAAAAAGAUGUGAAAAGAGUUCUCUCG